UACGAACUGUGCGAACGUUAUUCGGAAUCACUGGGCUUACAGGGUGCGUAGGCGGCCUUUCAAGUCAGGUGUGAAAGCCCCCGGCUCAACCGGGGAACUGCGCUUGAAACUGAAAGGCUCGAGUCAGCUAGAGGUACACGGAACUUCCAGUGGAGCGGUGAAAUGUGUUGAUAUUGGAAGGAACACCGGAGGCGAAAGCGGUGUACUGGGGCUGGUCUGACGCUGAGGCACGAAAGCCAGGGGAGCGAACGGG
rnacentral:rRNA from 1 species